rnacentral:rRNA from 1 species
CUCUGUCAUCAGGGAAGAAAGCAAUUUUAUUAAAGAGAUGAGAUAGUUGACGGUACCUGAUAAGCAAGCUCCGGCUAACUACGUGCCAGCAGCCGCGGUAAUACGUAGGGAGCGAGCGUUGUCCGGAAUUAUUGGGCGUAAAGGGCGCGUAGGCGGUCAGACAAGUCAAAUGUGAAAGACAGCGGCUCAACCGUUGGGUUGCGUUUGAAACUGUAGGACUUGAGUACAGGAGAGGAGAGUGGAAUUUCUGGUGUAGUGGUGGAAUGCGUAGAUAUCAGGAAGAACAUCGGUGGCGAAGGCGGCUCUCUGGCCAUGUACUGACGCUGAGGCGCGAAAGCGUGGGGAGCAAACGGGAUUAGAUACCCCGGUAGUCCACGCCGUAAACGAUGGAUACUAGGUGUAGGUGGUUAGACUCCAUCUGUGCCGCAGUAAACGCAAUAAGUAUCCCGC